rnacentral:rRNA from 1 species
CCUACGGGUGGCAGCAGUGGGGAAUAUUACACAAUGGGGGAAACCCUGAUGCAGCGACGCCGCGUGCGUGAAGAAGUAUUUCGGUAUGUAAAGCUCUAUCAGCCGGGAAGAAAAUGACGGUACCUGAUUAAGAAGCCCCGGCUAACUACGUGCCAGCCGCCGCGGUAAUACGUAGGGGGCAAGCGUUAUCCGGAUUUACUGGGUGUAAAGGGAGCGUAGACGGCAGUACAAGUCUGGGGUGAAAGGCCGGGGCUUAACCCCGGAAGUGCUUUGGAAACUGUGCAGCUAGAGUGCAGGAGAGGUAAGGGGAAUGCCUGGUGUAGCGGUGAAAUGCGUAGAUAUUAGGAGGAACACCAGUGGCGAAGGCGGCUUACUGGACUGUAACUGACGUUGAGGCUCGAAAGCGUGGGGAGCAAACAGGAUGAGAUACCCUUGUAGUC